GGAGUUCCAAGAUCAGGCAGUAGGGUGGGCCACCUGGGUCAGUCAUCCUAUCUUCCCCCGGAAAGAGGAAUCCGAGGGUGGAGAGCCCUCAGUCUGAUCAUGAUUCCACUCUCGAAGGCUCCCUACCUCCACUCUACCAGAAGACCCUCAAGACUCACAGUCGAGAGGACCUCCUGGAUCGAAGGCUCCAGAAGAUGAACC
rnacentral:lncRNA from 1 species